rnacentral:lncRNA from 1 species
GAUGAUCCAAUUGGACUUUUCCAAGUUGAUUUGAAUUGGAUUUGAAGUUUGACCUCUAUUUGUUUAUUUUAAUUCAAGUAUUAUUUUAAUUCCAAAAAAUACCAAAAAUAUUUUUAUUGUUUCUUGACUUCUAAGCUUCAUCUCACUUCUGUUUACCAUUGAUUGAUGUUGAUUACAUUCAUGUUUGAUCAAUGUGUUUUGGUUAUGUUAUUUGAAUUCCAUUUAUGUACAUUCCAUUCUUCUUCUUCUUCUUCUUCUUUUUUCUUUUUGAUCAAUGAG